UACGUACCGUACGAACGUUAUUCGGAAUUACUGGGCUUAAAGGGCUUGUAGGCGGCCAUGUAAGUGGGGUGUGAAAUCCCUCGGCUCAACCGAGGAAUGGCGCCCCAUACUGUAUGGCUUGAGGGAGACAGGGGUAAGCGGAACUGAUGGUGGAGCGGUGAAAUGCGUUGAUAUCAUCAGGAACACCGGUGGCGAAAGCGGCUUACUGGGUCUCUUCUGACGCUGAGGAACGAAAGCUAGGGUAGCGAACGGG
rnacentral:rRNA from 1 species